CAAAUAUUUAUGCACAUUUAUUAGCAUACUACAGAACCCAUAUGUGAAUAUCGCUGGUUUUUUUAAUACUCUUCCUUUGCCGCUGUCUUUCUCUCCCUCCGUCUGUCAGUGGACGAAGCAAACUAUAACGCAUUGAGUAACGAAGAGAAGAGGACACAAGUAAAGCUACGUGUGUAUCCGAGGCUACCUUAGAAUAACCAGCUUCGUCGAGGCAUAUAUCGCGUUAAUUUACGAAAGUGAAGUUUUGCUCCAAUUAAGAGAAAUAAAAUGGAGCCGCGGCAUAGCAGCUCACGGCGAAUUUCGCGUGAUGUCUAGCGAUAAGUGUACAUCGUCGGUUCAAUAUUUUGCUGCGGCGUUCCAGGCUGGUAAUCCGCGUCGUUUUGUAACCAAGAAAAUAUGAGAAAAAACGAAGAGCAAGUACCAGCGAGGGGGUUUACGAGAAAGAAAUUGUCAAAAUUAUCGGUAAUUUUGAGCGAAACGCCAGUUUCGACGGCUUCCCGAAACGACCGCUGUACGAAAGUCUCUCCAAUGUGGAUGAAUUUUCAAAUGUCAGUUAAUAAUAAUAAUAAUAAAUAAACACGA